ACGACCCGAAUUUUGCGGCAACUUCCCCGUAAGUCGUCCUGCACUCUUCGCCAAAGCGAAACCGCACCGUGUAGCUCUGGGAGCCCGGAAGAAAACCGGCUUGCUUCAGUUGAGAACACCGGAGAGAAAGGCCACCUCAGCGAAGAAGAGAAAACGGGGGAGAGGCGAAGGUGACUCUCGCACUAAGCCUGCUCAAGAAAAAGUGCACACCGGCAGCAGCGUCGCACGAACUUCCACCAGACAUUCGAGCCCCUCGUGGGUCCUAGCGCGGUGAACAACUGCGCAGCGACUCACUCCCGUUUCAUCGAAGUGUCCUUCCCACUGGACGGCAGAACUUGUGUCGUUAGCGUCGAGCGUAGGCCUGGGUGACACGGCGACACGUCGUACAGGCCUGUCACCUCCCGCAAGCCCCGCUCGGCUCGAACAGAGACCAUGCCGCUGCCUGUGCGAGAAAGACGAACUGCUCGUAAUACGCGCGCAGGCCGCCGGUGCGGGCGGGCGCGCGGCAGAAAGGCAUCGAUCGAAGUCCGACGGAGGACACCCCCUCCAACGCCCGGCGCCCCGUUGCCCCCUCCGAGUAGGAGUCUCCUUGCCCGGCCAGCCAGCGAGCGAGAACGUCGUCUUCGUCGGCGGCGGCGGCAGUGAAGCAACAGGCGUUCGACGCUCCCCUCCGCUUCGUGAGCCUGCAGCAACAGGAGGAACUUCACCGGUCUUCUCCUUGAUCACUCACCUGAAAGAUAACCGGAAGCUUCAACCACCAGAACGGUGAAGGAAAUGGGCGUAAGGUUCCUGAACAAGCGCACUCCCUACCCUGUCAUGUCAUCUGCAAGAACCAACGAAAUCACGAAAGCACACUGCCCUGCCAUGGGCUCUUAGCCUACGGAUGACUCUUCGGGGAGGAUGCAGGCACGACCUCGCCGGAAGAGCGGUUUUCACGGCGCCUCGGUCAUCAGGACUGCCAGAAAAAUCGCCUCCGUUGGAACGUUCAACAAUUUACUCGAACUCACGAGCCAUUUCGUGCCCGCGUUCGCCCAACCAUGUUGCAAAUCGUGCGGGAUUACAACAGUUAACUAGCGGACAUCGCCACGAAGGCUUGCGGAUCGAAGCCAUGAAGAAGGACAACGUGCGCCUCCGAGACUGCACGUCGGUUCGACGCGUUAAUAAAACAUCGUUCAUACUUUUCA
rnacentral:lncRNA from 1 species